AGUUACCCAAUUCAAGAUUCACAGUGUAAAAGGUGGUAAGACGGCCUUCCCUAAAUUUAGGGCUUAAGGAAAGAAGGGGGUCGAUCCGGGAAGGAUAGGGGUGUAAUCUAAAUAAUCCUCCUAGGAAAGGUGAGUUACUCUCUUUAGGCUGAAGCCACGGAACCGGUGUAUCGGAGACAUGGAUUAGAUACCCAUUUAUUGCCGACGCAAACUUUGCUAAGAGGCGGCUGCUAGAGUACUACGAGCGUGUGCUUAAAACUCAAAGAACUUGGCGGCUCGUUAACUACCCAGGGGAAUAUGCGCCUUAAUCCGAUGAUCCGCGUUACAUCUUACUGUACCUUGAAAGAGAACAGCUGGUGUAUUGCCGUUGUCAGCUUGUUGUUCGAGCAGAAUGGAACAGGCUUAAUGGAACUAGCGAUUCGUCGAUAGGGUCCACGAAUUCAGGUCGUAAUACUGCCAAUGGUACAAGGGAGUGGGUAUUACAAUUCCAAUUCAGAACUACGGACCCUGAAAAGAAUGAAAUUAUCAGGUGAAGGUGGACUUGGGAGUAAGAAAGGAUUAAUAUGCCUUUCUGAACAUGAAUCUAACUUGUGUACAAACCGCCCGUCGCUCUCGCCGGAAGGGGAGAUAAGUCGUAACAGG
rnacentral:rRNA from 1 species